rnacentral:tRNA from 1 species
UCUGGGUAGCCAUUACAAAAACUACAAUUUUUUAAUUUUUUUGUUAUUUAUUUUUUACUUCUUCAUAUAGUGGUUGGCAGGAUAAUAUGUAUGAAUCAUUUAAAAAUAAACUUUCUUAAUUGUGUUAAGUAGGUAUGUGGCAACAUCCAAACUUUUUUCCAACAGAUAUUAUCAAUAAAACCAUUCCAGUAAGUUUCCUGUUGAAACCUUGCUCGUAUAGCUCUAUUGUUGUUGAAUGGACUAAAAGAAAAACAAAUCUUUCCUACUGAUGAGUCAACAGGGUUAAUUGUAGGUAUGUUCUGAGGGUCAGGGCCCUGUUUCAGAAAGCGGAAACUCUGGUUGAAGGAAACUCUGGGUUUUCGGUUUGACAAAGCCAGUUCAGUUGAACUCUGAGUCAGUUACUAUGGCAACAUACUGCCAGCGAGCAGAUCUUCAACUAACCCGGAGUUUCUUCUCUUUAGCUGAAGCCUGCAGACUGAAGGUGUCAGACAUGGCAUGUCCUUUUUUUGAAGAGCCAGUUGAUAGUGAAGCACAAAUAAUCCACAGAAAUCGGUCGGGAGAGGGAUCAGACCCCGCUUGGAUGUUUUAUCAUUCCCUGAUGAUUAUGUUUGUGCAGAAAAACAGAAACGCUCAAUCGAUCAUUCAUCUGAACAAUAUCCUCAGCCCUCAUUUCGUUCAUAUGACACAUCGUGGAAAUGCUCUCAGUUCGGAAUAAAAUAAUUUGUUGCACUUUGUUUUUUUGCCAACGGGAGUUUUCUAUAUAUCAUCAGUGACGCUGAGCAUAUAUCCAAGGCAACCGUCUGUCGGGCUGUCAGAAAUAUGACUCCUGCACUGAAACGUUUAGUGUACACUUUUGUGGCGUUCUCAAGUCACAGACUCACAAGACUCAAAGAAGAAUGCCACAGAAUUGCAGGCAGAGCAGGCAACAGAUGGCACACAGACAGCAGAGUUGGGGACAGAUAUGCAGGGACAGACUGGCAGAGACAGGGAGUCUCAGCUGAAAAUUUAAACUGUAGCCUCGUAUUAUCAUAGGAGAGUUCAAUGGUAACCUGCUUGGUGACAGAGAGUACCCCUGCCAGCUCUAUUUGCUGACCCCUUACCCUGAUCCUGGGCAUAGCCCGCAGCAACGUUAUAACUUGGCUCACUGCAGGACACGAUCCAGGGUAGAGAUGACCUUUGGGAUGCUCAAGGCCCUGUUCCAGUGCCUUCGUAGGCUCAGGGUCACCCCAGAAAGGGCACGUGACAUUGUGGCAUGUGUGAUUCCCCACAAGAGAAGAACAAUGUCCUCAACCAGUGAACGUUCCUGACACCACCCCGCUGACGCAGAAGAUGGAAGAGCAGUCAGACACAAUAUGCUACCAUCAUUUCUAAUUGACCCAUCACCUCCCCAGUGUCAAAUAAAGACAAUAUGCCUUUCUUUUUAUGAAGUCUUUAUUUCCUGCAAGUACAAAUGCAGUACAGUAAUACUUUUAUGUUCAAACAAGUAAAAUCUAAAUUACAUUUUUCAAUUUGGUUCUUUAAGUACACAUAGUACAGCUGUUUCACAGGGAGCUAUAGGAACACAAAAAAAUGACAUUGAAUUUCAGUGCCAGGUCUACUUAAUUUCAUUGUAAGUAAUGGGCCAAUGCUGAACAAAAUCUUACUGAGGUAAAUUGUGCUGUGUAGGUGUAAUUUCCAGCAUUGCUCUGUUAGAGAAAAAGGUGCAAGUUUUAUUAUGGUACAACACCAUCAACUGUUAGAUGUAAUUUUUAAGGUGUAAACGUCAAUAGGCCUCUCUGUAUUUUCCCUCUCUGUGGCAGCUGACAAGGUGUCUUCAUCCUCCUGUAAUGAAAAUUAACAAUUUUGGUGUUCUACUCUAAACACAUGACAAAUCUGUGGCGUAUUAAGAGUACUUACAACUGCAUGGAGGUCUGUUAUGGCAGAAGGCUCCAGACAGAUUACACCAUCAGUAACUGGUAGAAUAUUAAGAUUAGACAGUUCAAUUGUAACUUUACCCAGAAAAGUGCCCCACAUAAUUUGAAUUUUGGUUUUACAACAGUGUGUAGGCCACAUCACAAUUUUUCAAAUAUAUAAUUCUGAGUCACCUUAAAAUAGAUUAUGACAUCUGAAGGACAACUAAGAAUCUGAAAAAAGUAACAAGUCAAUUACAAAUAAUUGUACCUCUAAAGAAAAUCAGUGUGCAAAGUUGUGUCAGAUGGAUGGGUGGGUGUCACUGAGGUAACACUGGCAAAAGGAUGAAUGUACAAAUCAUUAAUUUGAAUAACUAAACUCUUAUGUUGGCCCUUGUGUCCUGGGGGGGGGGUACAGAUGAGCUUCCUCCAAAGAUACCUUCAUCAGGUCACCCACUGUUUUGACUGAGGGAUAUCUCUUCAGCCUCUGAGUGGUGGUGGACCCCCACCUGUUUUGCAGCCCUAAGCCUUUUUCUAUUGGUUAUAAUUGAGGUCAAAUGUGAACAUGUCCAGUAAGCACAAAUUCAGAGACUUGUAUGUAUAAAGGAAUUUAAAUGUUACUUUCAAAUACUGGCAGUGUUGGGAUGGCUGAAAAACACACUUUUUUUUUGCUUAGAAAAUGUCAUGAAAUACUUAAAUAUAUUAUAGGUUGAAUGAUGCAACAGUUUAAAAUAUUUUACUAAGUUACAGUACAUAAGGAAAUCAGUCAAUUGUAAUAGAUUUGAUGGAUUUCACAUGACUGGAAAUACAGAUAUGCAUCUCUUGGUCACAGAUAACUUUUUUUUUAAAGGUAGGGGCAUGGAUCAAAAAAACAGUCAGUAUCUGGUGUGACCACUCCUCUUCAAUGGCUGUGCAAAGUUGCUGGAUAUUGGCGGGAACUGGAACACGCUGUCGUACACGUCGAUCCAGAGCACCCCAAACAUGCUCAAAGGGUGACAAUUAGUGGUCCUGUGUGGCUCCGUUGGUAGAGCAUGGUGUUUGCAACGCCAGGGUUGUGGGUUUGUUUCCCACAGGGGACCAGUAUGAAAAAAAAUGAAGAAAAAAAAUAUGUAUGAAAUGUAUGCAUUCACUACUGUAAGUCGCUCUGGAUAAGAGCGUCUGCUAAAUGACUAAAAUGUAAAUGUAAAAUGUUGCCACUGAAUGCUGUUUAAUUAGGUAUGGUAGGCUAAACAACAUCACAAUUGCUUGUAAUGAAAUUAUACCUUACCUGUUUGAAGUAUAUUUCAUCUUCAGUGGCUGCCAAGUAGGUUUUGUGCCCGUUGGGUUGGACAUGCAUUAAUAUUAAACACGCGCACACAUUUAUAUUAUAUUAAAUGUUGAAUAAGUGGAACACUCGAGAUAAAACUUUUUAAAAUGAAUACUCACGCAUUGACUCGAUCAACAAUUUUCUGCCACGCCAACUCACGUUCUUUUGCUGCUGCAUUGCUUUUUUCCUUAAAUAUAUGCUCAUAUUCUGCAUAUGUUAAUAUUUCUAACUCCACUGGGCAAGUAGGAGGUUGGAGCCCUUUUCUCCUGUUGCCAUGAUGAAUCAUGUUAUCUGCGUUCCUUUGAUUAGGGCUUUUUAUCUCCUCAUGCACGUGCUUUACUCAGGGUUAACUUAACUCAGAGUUGAUUGAACUAAUUGUUAUCACCUCCUCUGAAACCGAAAACUCAAGAGUUUGACAGCUCAGAGUUAGUCAACCCAGAGUUCAGGUUUAAACUCAGAGUUUGUUAAACCUGCUUUCUGAAACAGGGCCCAGGUCUUGACACGUUCCUCAAUAAUAAAUCCGCAUCUGCGGGAAUUGCAUCUAAAACAAUUGCAAAACUCCACACUUGACUCUCAGCUGCGCGAUAUACUUACAUACGUCAUCAAUUUGGGCACCAGGUGUGUCCAUAUAGCCAAAGACAGAAGGCGUAACAUCGCGAGACUUCCGGGAUCUUACUUACUUAUACGUUUUCUCGAAAUCUAAAGGAACAACCUAGAUUCGAGCCAAUGUCUUAUGUAGUUGAACUUGUUAUUACUCCAACCCUGUGAGAGUCACAAACUGACACGUUUUCAUUUUCGUCAAAAACAACUUUAUAUAGGAGUGCCUCUGAGUUGACGACAUGCACAUGCGCAGUUCGGCGCGAGACGACCCGAUAACGUGUUUCUACGUAUGAGCUUUGCUAGCCAACAUCGCCAACAAGCGUGCCCGAUGAUCUUCAUGAUGUACCGUCUUUGGUAUAGCCUCUCCCUGGCUAGGUGUCUGGCUAGCGGCUAACUGUCAAACACGCAGAUUCGAGUUUGGGAAACCCUGCUCUAUGUGACUGGAGCCAUGCAUCAGGUGCCAGGUGUGCAGGAGCUCUUCGCCUGAUCAGCAUCCUUGACCUCAUCAACCAGUAAACUUGAGUUUACCCAUUGCGGUUUACCGUAGCAUUUGUGUAUGUUCAUUGUGAGGGUUAUUACCUUGAGAAUUCCUCUAUAGUACAUGUCUGAGUAUAGCCUUCCCUGUAGCUCAGUUGGUAGAGCAUGGUGUUUGCAACGCCAGGGUUGUGGGUUCGAUUCCCACGGGGGGCCAGCACAGGAAAAAAAAAAAAAAUGUAUGAAAUGAAAUGUAUUCCUUCACUACUGUAAGUUGCUCUGGAUAAGAGCGUCUGCUAAAUGACUAAAAUGUAUAGGUCAUUAUCUGUUUUGCCUUAACAGUGAGACAGACAUUCCUCUGAUGGUGUAUUGGUGUUAUCAUGGCAGGUUUGGUGACUGUGGAUCUGUUCUAGACAUAACUCUGCUGAUCUACCCCACACUGGGUCAUCAUUAAAAGUACAGUCUAGUGUUUACAGCAUUUUGUAGAAAUGCAUCCCGUGUUCAAAUACAUCCUCAUCAAUGCAGCAGCCUUGAUUUGAAUAGUUGAAUAGGAUCAUUCAUAUACUUUAUUUACAUAUAUAUACUCCUUCAUUUUCAGUAUUUCUCAUGUUUCAGAGCAGAAGAAGCAGUGGAAAUGCUGAAGACCUUUUUAUAAACAUAAGAACCCAAAUGCCCCCAAGACAAGGAGUGAGAUACUGUUGAUGUCCAGCAGGGGGCAAUAUUAGUUAAGUAAUGAGGUGAGGAGCAGAGAACGAUCAUGAGGCAAAGGGAGUAGCUAACAAAGGGUUCUCCUGAAACAGACUUGGAACACAACAAUGGGUCCUAUGGAUUUUUGUCUGACAAAGAAAUUAAAUGGACUUUUUCAUAUUUUCACGUAUUCGCUCAGCCUUUUGCAUCAGCACUCAUUUUUAUUUUCAUAUUAUUGAUAGUGUUUUAUACCCUUACAGCAUAGUUUGGAUGGACAGUGGACACUAUCCAGGGCCUGUAAAGUGGCUUGCUGCUAAAACAGCCUCUACUCUUCUGGGAAGGCUAGAUGUUGGAAUAUUUCUGUGGGGACUUCCAUUCAGCCACAAGAGCAUUAGUGAGUUCGGCCACUGAUGUUGGGCGAUUAGGCCUGGCUUGCAGUCUGCGUUCCAAUUCAUCCCAAAGGUGUUCGAUGGGGUUGAGGUCAGGGCUCUGUGCAGGCCAGUCAAGUUCCUCCACACCGAUUUCGACAACCCAUUUGUGUAUGGACCUUGCUUUGUGCACAGGGUCAUUGUCAUGCUGAAACAGGAAAGGGCCUUCCCCAAACUGUUACCACAAAGUUGGAAGCAUAGAAUCGUCUAGAAUGUCAUUGUAUGCUGUAGCAUUAAGAUUUCCCUUCACUGGAACUAGAGCCUAGCCCCAACCAUGAAAAACAGCCCCAGACCAUUAUUCCUCCUCCACCAAACUUUAUAGUUUGCACUUUGCAUUGGGGCACGUAGCGUUCUCCUGGCAUUCGCCAAACCCAGAUUCAUCCCUAUAUGCUGUCUUGUCAUUGUUGGUGAUCAGGCCUGCCACUGUUGUGUCAUCGGCAAAGGUAAUGAUGGUGUUGUGCCUGGCCGUGGAGUCAUGAGUGAACAGGGAGUACAGUAGGGGACUAAGCACGCACCCCUGAGGGGCCCCUGUGUUGAGGAUCAGGGUGGUGGAUGUGUUGUUACCUACCCUUACCACCUGGGAGCGGCCCGUCAGGAAGUCCAUGAUCCAGUUGCAGAGGGAGGUGUUUAGUCCCAGGGUCCUUUGCUUAGUAAUGAGCUUUGAGGGCACUAUGGUGUUGAAUGCUGAGCUGUUGUCAAGGAAUAGCAUUCUCAUGUAGGUGUUCCUUUUGUCCAGGUGUGAAAGGGCAGUGUGGAGUGCACUAGAGAUUGCAUCAUCUGUGGAUCUGUUGGGGCGGUAUGCACAUUGGAGUGGGUCUAGGGUUUCUGGGAUAAUGGUGUUUAUGUGAGCCAUUACCAGCCUUUCGAAGCACUUCAUGGCUACAGAUGUGAGUGCUUCGGGUCGGUAGUCAUUUAGGCAGGUUACGUUAGUGUUCUUGGGCACAGGGACUAUGGUGGUCUGUUUGAAACAUGUUGGUAUUACACUCAGACAGGGAGAGGUUGAAAAUGUAAUUGAAGACACUUGCCAGUUGGUCAGCGCAUGCUCGGAGUACACGUCCUGGUAAUCCGUCUGGCCCUGCGGUCUUGUGAAUGUUGACCUGUUUGAAGGUCUUACAUCGGCUGCGGAAACCGUGAUCACACAGUCGUCCGGAACAGCUGAUGCUCUCAUGCAUGUUUCAGUGUUACUUGCCUCGAAGCGAGCAUAGAAGUAAUUUAGCUCGUCUGGUAGGCUCGUGUCACUGGGCAGUUCUCGGCUGUGCUUCCCUUUGUAGUCUGUAAUAGUUUGCAAGCCCUGCCACAUCCGACGAGCUUCGGAGCCGGUGUAGUACGAUUCGAUCUUAGUCCUGCAUUGAUGCUUUGCCUGUUUGAUGGCUCGUCGGAGGGCAUAGCGGGAUUUCUUAUAAGCUUCUGGGUUAGAGUCCCGCUCCUUGGAAGCGGCAGCCCUACCCUUUAGCUCAGUGCGGAUGUUGCCUGUAAUCCACGGCUUCUGGUUGGGGCAUGUACGUACGGUCACUGGGGGACGAUGUCAUCAAUGCACUUAUUGAUGAAGCCAGUGACUGAUGUGGUGUACUCCUCAAUGCCAUUGGAUGAAUCCCGGAACAUAUUCCAGUCUGUGCUAGCAAAACAAUCCUGUAGCUUAGCAUCUGCUUCAUAUGACCACUUUUUUAUUGACCAAGUCACUGUGUAUUAAUUUGAGAGUGCUUUCAUUUCUCCAGCUCCAUCCCUCCGGUUUUUAGAUAAUUUGUCUUUGAGAGUUUAUUCUACAAACAGUGAUUAGGCCCUUACAUGCUGUCAUGUUAUUGAUCUUAAUCACGUAAUAAUAACCUCUCUCCAGUUCCCUCUGGUUUUGUGUCUUCUGGUUCAUUCCUUCAUAAAGGUUUUAAAUGUUUGAUGCUUGCAGUAGUGGCGUGUUAGAUGAGAGAUGUCAUGCCCUUGGCUACAUUCUGACCAUACAACCCCCCCUGAAGGUCACUCAUGUAGAGCUCUGCUGCUACGGCCAAAGAACCACUCAGGAUCCCUGCCUAAGACUGGCACAGUACACAUGCUCAGCCGCCUGCCCCCACACAUCCGUCAGAGAAACACACACACACACCUUGCCAAAGGAUCUGUACUCUGUAUUUUCUGUGCUUGGAGGGUGCAGGGGUUGAGUGCCACCACAGUGAGUACUUGGAGCCACUAUGCAGGGCUAUAUUUGGGCCUCCAUCUUGUGCCCGCUGAAUGAGCUGCUUGGUGUCACACUAUGAUUUUCCACCCACUGGGACCUGGAGAACAGAAAGGCUGCAUUUAAACUGCUUUUACUUCCACUAAUGUCAGUACGCGUUGAGCGGUAAUGUUAUUUGUGCUCAGACUCUCUGGCAUUUCCGCCUGCAAGUUUGUAGUUAUCAUACUUUUGAUUGGCUGUGACUAAGCCUUGCAUGUUGCUCAAGCUUCUCCUGCCUACCAAACACCGUUUACUUCCCAAUUACUAUGCUAAUGUAUGCCAGCAAAAAAUCCUUCAAAAUGCAUUCAAUUUGUCACCUCCACAUGGGGGACCGGCAGUGUUAAUGAGAAGACUAUGAAGUGUCGUUCUCUCGUUAUCAAGCUGACAGAGAGCCUGUGACGGUGCACACACUCCACCAUGACAAAAAUGUAUACAAACAACUUACCCGGCAAAGAUGUCAUUAUCUAUCAGGAUGAAAAACCACAGUUGUCAAGAGCACCUAUUUCUGUUUCACUGCAAACGACUGUGUUUGCAGAGGAAUGGAUGAGAAGGGUUUAAUUUUUCCAUCUAAUUGAGCUGACGGCUACUAUUACAGGAACUGGCUGGUGGCAAACUUUUAGAGGUUUUAUUUUCUAAGAAGUGGGGAUAGCUAGAGAGGAGAUGCAGUAUAGUACACGGUUGUGUUUUGCAGUUUUGGCUCUACGUUUAAAACAUUUUAUAGGGUUGUAAUACAAUGACAGUCUGUUUAAAAAUGAUAAACAGCAGCUGAGAUCAUAUGACUGUCAAAACAAACUUACAGCCACUCAUAAAGAAUUUAUCCCAUUUAUCUAUUAUGCUACUGUGGUAUACUUUCAUUUAUAGGCUAACAUAUUAUUUCAUGAGACCUUCUGAGGUCUGUCUCCCAGAGUUACUAGCGACUUGGAAUAGCUGUGCUGUGAAUAAAAAGGCAUAUUAUGGGUACA